GUGAGGGGAUGACUGGUGACAGAGUGAGGGAGGGAGUGGGUGACCAGUGACAGAGGGAGGGAGGAAGUGGGUGACCAGUGAGAGUGAGGGAGGUGGUGACUUUCACUAGUCACCACCUCCCUCACUCUGUCCCUAGUCACCCCUCCCUCUGUCACUAGUCAUCCCCUUCCUCACUCUGUAACUAGUCACCCCUUCCCUCCCUAACUCUGUCACUAGUCACCCCCUCCCUAACUCUGUCACUAGUCACCCCCUCCCUCAC